UACGUAGGGGGGCAAGCGUUGUCCGGAAUCAUUGGGCGUAAAGCGCGUGUAGGCGGUCCGGUAAGUCCGCUGUGAAAAGUCGGGGGGCUCAACCCUCGGAUGCCGGUGGAUACUGUCGGGCUUGAGUACGGAAGAGGCGAGUGGAAAUUCCUGGUGUAGCGGUGAAAUGCGCAGAUAUCAGGAGGAACACCAAUGCGAAGGCAGCUCGCUGGACGUUACUGACGCUGAGACGCGAAAGCGUGGGGAGCAAACAGG
rnacentral:rRNA from 1 species